rnacentral:rRNA from 1 species
CCCUUAGACGUUCUGGGCCGCACGCGCGCUACACUGACCAGUGCAACAAGCAUCCGUCCUUGGCCGACAGGCUCGGGCAAUCUUUGAACGCUGGUCGUGAUGGGGAUAGACUUUUGCAAUUUUUGGUCUUCAACGAGGAAUUCCUAGUAAACGCAAGUCAUCAACUUGCAUUGAUUACGUCCCUGCCCUUUGUACACACCGCCCGUCGCACCGACCGAUUGAAUGGUCCGGUGAAGCCUCCGGAUUGGCGCGCACCUCGGUGCCGCCGAGAAGUUGGCUAAACCUUACCAUUUAGAGGAAGGUGAANUCGUANCA